rnacentral:rRNA from 1 species
GGGUUGUGAGGUUAAGCGACUAAGCGUACACGGUGGAUGCCCUGGCAGUCAGAGGCGAUGAAGGACGUGCUAAUCUGCGAUAAGCGUCGGUGAGGUGAUAUGAACCGUUAUAACCGGCGAUUUCCGAAUGGGGAAACCCAGUGUGAUUCGUCACACUAUCAUUAACUGAAUCCAUAGGUUAAUGAGGCGAACCGGGGGAACUGAAACAUCUAAGUACCCCGAGGAAAAGAAAUCAACCGAGAUUCCCCCAGUAGCGGCGAGCGAACGGGGAGGAGCCCAGAGCCUGAAUCAGUGUGUGUGUUAGUGGAAGCGUCUGGAAAGGCGCGCGAUACAGGGUGACAGCCCCGUACACAAAAAUGCACAUAUUGUGAGCUCGAUGAGUAGGGCGGGACACGUGGUAUCCUGUCUGAAUAUGGGGGGACCAUCCUCCAAGGCUAAAUACUCCUGACUGACCGAUAGUGAACCAGUACCGUGAGGGAAAGGCGAAAAGAACCCCGGCGAGGGGAGUGAAAAAGAACCUGAAACCGUGUACGUACAAGCAGUGGGAGCCUCUUAAUGGGGUGACUGCGUACCUUUUGUAUAAUGGGUCAGCGACUUAUAUUCUGUAGCAAGGUUAACCGAAUAGGGGAGCCGAAGGGAAACCGAGUCUUAACUGGGCGUUAAGUUGCAGGGUAUAGACCCGAAACCCGGUGAUCUAGCCAUGGGCAGGUUGAAGGUUGGGUAACACUAACUGGAGGACCGAACCGACUAAUGUUGAAAAAUUAGCGGAUGACUUGUGGCUGGGGGUGAAAGGCCAAUCAAACCGGGAGAUAGCUGGUUCUCCCCGAAAGCUAUUUAGGUAGCGCCUCGUGAAUUCAUCUCCGGGGGUAGAGCACUGUUUCGGCAAGGGGGUCAUCCCGACUUACCAACCCGAUGCAAACUGCGAAUACCGGAGAAUGUUAUCACGGGAGACACACGGCGGGUGCUAACGUCCGUCGUGAAGAGGGAAACAACCCAGACCGCCAGCUAAGGUCCCAAAGUCAUGGUUAAGUGGGAAACGAUGUGGGAAGGCCCAGACAGCCAGGAUGUUGGCUUAGAAGCAGCCAUCAUUUAAAGAAAGCGUAAUAGCUCACUGGUCGAGUCGGCCUGCGCGGAAGAUGUAACGGGGCUAAACCAUGCACCGAAGCUGCGGCAGCGACACUAUGUGUUGUUGGGUAGGGGAGCGUUCUGUAAGCCUGUGAAGGUGGCCUGUGAGGGUUGCUGGAGGUAUCAGAAGUGCGAAUGCUGACAUAAGUAACGAUAAAGCGGGUGAAAAGCCCGCUCGCCGGAAGACCAAGGGUUCCUGUCCAACGUUAAUCGGGGCAGGGUGAGUCGACCCCUAAGGCGAGGCCGAAAGGCGUAGUCGAUGGGAAACAGGUUAAUAUUCCUGUACUUGGUGUUACUGCGAAGGGGGGACGGAGAAGGCUAUGUUGGCCGGGCGACGGUUGUCCCGGUUUAAGCGUGUAGGCUGGUUUUCCAGGCAAAUCCGGAAAACCAAGGCUGAGGCGUGAUGACGAGGCACUACGGUGCUGAAGCGACAAAUGCCCUGCUUCCAGGAAAAGCCUCUAAGCAUCAGGUAACAUCAAAUCGUACCCCAAACCGACACAGGUGGUCAGGUAGAGAAUACCAAGGCGCUUGAGAGAACUCGGGUGAAGGAACUAGGCAAAAUGGUGCCGUAACUUCGGGAGAAGGCACGCUGAUAUGUAGGUGAAGCGACUUGCUCGUGGAGCUGAAAUCAGUCGAAGAUACCAGCUGGCUGCAACUGUUUAUUAAAAACACAGCACUGUGCAAACACGAAAGUGGACGUAUACGGUGUGACGCCUGCCCGGUGCCGGAAGGUUAAUUGAUGGGGUUAGCGGUAACGCGAAGCUCUUGAUCGAAGCCCCGGUAAACGGCGGCCGUAACUAUAACGGUCCUAAGGUAGCGAAAUUCCUUGUCGGGUAAGUUCCGACCUGCACGAAUGGCGUAAUGAUGGCCAGGCUGUCUCCACCCGAGACUCAGUGAAAUUGAACUCGCUGUGAAGAUGCAGUGUACCCGCGGCAAGACGGAAAGACCCCGUGAACCUUUACUAUAGCUUGACACUGAACAUUGAGCCUUGAUGUGUAGGAUAGGUGGGAGGCUUUGAAGUGUGGACGCCAGUCUGCAUGGAGCCGACCUUGAAAUACCACCCUUUAAUGUUUGAUGUUCUAACGUUGGCCCGUAAUCCGGGUUGCGGACAGUGUCUGGUGGGUAGUUUGACUGGGGCGGUCUCCUCCUAAAGAGUAACGGAGGAGCACGAAGGUUGGCUAAUCCUGGUCGGACAUCAGGAGGUUAGUGCAAUGGCAUAAGCCAGCUUGACUGCGAGCGUGACGGCGCGAGCAGGUGCGAAAGCAGGUCAUAGUGAUCCGGUGGUUCUGAAUGGAAGGGCCAUCGCUCAACGGAUAAAAGGUACUCCGGGGAUAACAGGCUGAUACCGCCCAAGAGUUCAUAUCGACGGCGGUGUUUGGCACCUCGAUGUCGGCUCAUCACAUCCUGGGGCUGAAGUAGGUCCCAAGGGUAUGGCUGUUCGCCAUUUAAAGUGGUACGCGAGCUGGGUUUAGAACGUCGUGAGACAGUUCGGUCCCUAUCUGCCGUGGGCGCUGGAGAACUGAGGGGGGCUGCUCCUAGUACGAGAGGACCGGAGUGGACGCAUCACUGGUGUUCGGGUUGUCAUGCCAAUGGCACUGCCCGGUAGCUAAAUGCGGAAGAGAUAAGUGCUGAAAGCAUCUAAGCACGAAACUUGCCCCGAGAUGAGUUCUCCCUGAGACUUAGAGUCUCCUGAAGGAACGUUGAAGACGACGACGUUGAUAGGCCGGGUGUGUAAGCGCAGCGAUGCGUUGAGCUAACCGGUACUAAUGAACCGUGAGGCUUAACCUUACAACGCCGAAG